rnacentral:rRNA from 1 species
GACGAACGCUGGCGGCGUGCCUAAUACAUGCAAGUCGAACGAGAGCGACCGGUGCUUGCACUGGUCAAUCUAGUGGCGAACGGGUGAGUAACACGUGGGUAACCUGCCCAUCAGAGGGGGAUAACAUCCGGAAACGGAUGCUAAAACCGCAUAGGUCUUCGAACCGCAUGGUUUGAAGAGGAAAAGAGGCGCAAGCUUCUGCUGAUGGAUGGACCCGCGGUGCAUUAGCUAGUUGGUGAGGUAACAGCUCACCAAGGCCGUGAUGCAUAGCCGACCUGAGAGGGUGAUCGGCCACAUUGGGACUGAGACACGGCCCAAACUCCUACGGGAGGCAGCAGUAGGGAAUCUUCCGCAAUGGACGCAAGUCUGACGGAGCAACGCCGCGUGAGUGAAGAAGGUUUUCGGAUCGUAAAACUCUGUUGUUAGAGAAGAACAAGUGCUAGAGUAACUGUUAGCGCCUUGACGGUAUCUAACCAGAAAGCCACGGCUAACUACGUG